rnacentral:lncRNA from 1 species
UAUAUAUAAAUUUUAACUUAGAGUUUAUUAUAUUAACAUCAUUUGUCAAACAUAAACACAAAAUAAAUUACAAUUCCGAAAAAAUGGAUAUCGAAAGUAUAAUUCAGGAAGUACAGGCUAUAAAGUUUUACCCAUAUAUGAUGUAUAAUGCCUCUAAGUUGAAAGUACUGAGCGACUACGUAGAUAUAGCUUUUGAAAAUAAUGAAUAUUUUGAUAAUGAUGCUAUGCUCAUUUUAUUGAGGCUUUUUUGUUUGUACCCACAUAGCUACGACAAAAACGUAAUUAAAAAGAUGCUAAUAUGUGUUUUAUAUAAUAUUAAUACGGUUGAUAUGAACACAUAUUUGAGUUUAAUAAACCCUAAUUUAUUUGAUGAAAAUGUAAAAAAUGUAAUAUAUUUAUACGAGUUAAUAAAAGAUUGUAAAUUUAUAAAAUUAUGGAAAUGUAUAAACAAGAAAAAUGAAGAUGACAACAGUACUAAUGAUUAUUCUUCUUUAAUAAACUGUGAUCAUUUCACAAAUAAUAUCAGAAAGUAUAUUUUAAAUUCUAUUUCAUUAAGUUAUGAAAAUAUAACGUUAAAAAAAAUGUCUGAAUAUUUAAAUAUGGAUAUGCCACAACUUGAAAGUUUUUUAAAUGAAAAUAACUGGGUUAUCAAAAAAGUUAAUUACAAAGACCAAGAACAUGUUAUUUGUAGUAAUAAUAAUAUAGAAGCAUUCCAAACUAAAAACAUUAACAACUAUUUUAGUGAGGAUUAUAUAUCAUUAUAUAUUGAUAAGUUGAAUAAUUAAAAAAAGAAAAAAAGAAAAGAAAAAAAAAAGUAUGCACUUAGCGUUAUUGCACCUGCUACUUUUUCUGCUAUGUUACACAUAAGGUUAUGUGUUAUAUGAUAUCAUAUACCAUAUAUCUUUUUUUUUUUUUUUUUUUUUUUUUUUGUUAUGCAACUUUUUCCUUAUGCGUUAUUUGCUUUAAACAUUGUUUACAUAUAAGUAAAUAUAUGAGCAUAACUGCAUACAGAUAUAUGACUAUGAGUGCGUGGUGUAAGAAAACAUGCAUUUUGAAACUUUUUUUUUUUUUUUUAAAUACAUUGUCUACAAACAUAAUUUAAACAGGUAAAAUGUACAUAAAUGCAAU